CUGAGCCACAUUCCAAGCCCUUUUAUUUUUUAUUUUGAGACAAGAUCUCACUGAGUUGCUUAGGGCCUUGCUAAGUUGCUGAGGCUGGCUUUGAACUUGUGAUCCUCCUGCCUCAGCCUCCCAGGCUGCUGGGAUUACAGGCAUAUGCCACCCUGACUGGCUUCCAAAGCACCUGUGUCAAUUUUAUUGACACAUUCACAGAAUUGAAAACUUGGUAUUCAAUGGGCUAAAGCUGACUGUGAGUAUAGACCAGGACCUAUUGACUGACAGCUGUAGGAUUCUGGGUAUGAUGACAUUUCUUCUUCCAAUCCUGGUGCUAGGGGGUGCAGAGGGGUGUUUGGGGAAAGCUGUGGGCUGAGACAGAGAAAAAAAUGUUGUACGAUGGAGGAGGCUGGGGAUAUAGCUCAGUUGGUAGAGUGCUUGCCUCGCAUGCACAAGGCCCUGGGUUCAAUCCCAGCACCCACCCACCCACACAAAAAAGUGUAUGAUGGAGACCAGGGAAAUUAGAACCCAGUGAAGUAGGAGAUGGGCUGGAUGCAUGAAUUUCAGGCACCAAGGGUAAAAGCCAAGUCAGGGCUUCCACCCCUUCCUGACAUUUAUGUGAGGAGCCUGCCAGAGAACAAUGCCCCUGAUUAUCCCAGCAGAUCUACUAACACUUCCCUCAAUGGUGGAUCCAUCUGUAUUGGAGGAAAAGAGAAGGAAAUGAAGAGGUGACUGGGGCAAAAGCAAUUGGCCCUGCAAUUGGCAGAGUAAGGACACCUGCAGCCCAAGGGCAUGUCUGUAACUGGGGGAAGGAAGAGUAAAACAAAAGGUCACCAAUACCAAGGGGAUUUCCAAGAACAAUCCACAAUAACAAGAAAUCAAUCACCUGCCUUCCUUCCUGCUGAUUUUAUGAGGUUGUUUUUUUUUUCUUACUGAAAUUUGUGGGUUUACAGAGGAGAUGUACUUAUAGGGUUUCUGGGGGAGAAAUUUUUUUCCAGGUGCUAUACCAAAGAGCAGUUUUUAACGUUAUCAUCAUCAUCAUCAUCAUCAUCAUCAUCAUUAUUUAUUUUUUUGGAGGGUACCAAGGAUUGAACUCAGGGGUGCUUAACCCCAAGCAACCUCCCAGCCCUUUUUGUUUUUUAUUUUGAGACAGGGUCUCACUAAGUUGCUUAGGUCCUUGCUUAGUUGCUGAGGCUGGCCUUGAAUUUGUGAUCCUCCUGCCUUAGCCACCUAAGCCACCUGGAUUACAGGUGUGCACCACCAUGCCCAGGCAAAGCUGGUUUUUAAAAAUGAAUUAACAUAUAGAGCAGUUUUGGGUUCACAAUAAGAUCAAGUGGAGACAGCUUGGGAGACUGAGGCAGGAGGAAUGUGAGUUCAAAGCCAGCCUCCACAUCUUAGUGCAGCCUAGGUGACUUAGCAGGACUGUGUCUCAAAAUAAAAUAUAAAAAGGGCUGGGGAUGUGGCUCAUGGCUAAGCACCCCUGGGUUCAAUCCUCAGUACCAAAUGAAUAAAUCAAUCAGGUGGGGAGUAUAGAAGUCCCCCAUGUGCUCUGCCACCUCUGCCAUCAACACACCCAACCACAGUGGUACAUCCAUUAAACACUGGUGACCCCUCGCUGACACGUCAUUGUCAUUCAGGGUCCACAGUUUACAGUAGGGCCAUUCUUGGUGUUGUACAUUCUGUGGGUCUUGACAAAGGUCUGAGGACACAUAUCAACUGUUGUAGAACAGUUUCACUGCCUUGAAAAUCCUCUGUGCUCCUGAAGAGCAAUUUUAAUUCUAUGAGAAAGUUGAGUGGCCAUCUAUUAAGAGCAAUUGUCAAAGUUGGCUGGCUAUCCAGGAGCAGUGGCACAGGCCUGUAAUCCCAGCAGUUUAGGAGGCUGAGGAGGAGGUUCGAGAGUUCAAGGCCAGCCUCAGCAAAAGUGAGGCCCUAAGCAACUCAGUGAGACUCUGUCUCUAAAUAAAUAGGACUGAGGAUGUGGCUCAGUGGUUGAGUGCCCCUGGGUUCAAUCCCCGGUACCUGUCCCCUCCCCUCCCCCCCACACAAAAAGUUGGCUGGCAAAUAGUUUAAGGAAUAAAUCAGACUCUCCCACAAUUGAUAAUGGAUUAGAAUCCACGGAGAAAGCUGUAGAAUACCAAUCCUGGCCAUACUUCAAAUGAUUGUAUUAUCUAAAACUGGACAACCUCUAUCCCACCCCCCCAAUAUAAGAAAACCAAAAAAGCCCACCCCAGAUACUUGAAAACUGUAGGUAUUUAACUGUAAUGCUAUAAUUUCUACCACCUACUCUUAGUAGUUUUGUUUCACUAAUUAUAAUAAUCAGAUCCAUUACUGUAAAUCAUCACAGCUGUUCCUUUGCAAGGACAGGACAUGGUUUCUGUUGGGUGCAGAGCAGGCUGAACUGUGUUGUCUGCAGGGCAGGCUGAACAGAUGUUGGCUGCAAGAUAGCCCACGCACUCAAACCCCCCUCUAUCUGGUCCCUUAUCACCUGUUUGCCUCAAGUCUGAACAUUCAACCCUGCUCAAGGCUGAACACUUAACACCCCCCCCGCCCCCCGCAGACCCAGAGGCCCCAUUAGUUUUGGGCUAUAAAAACUCCCUCCUGCCAGGCCUCCCUCUCUCUUGUUCUCUUUGUCUUUCUUGCGCGCUCUCUCUGUCUCUCUCUCCCUCUUCAUCUCUCCUCUCCUCUUCUCUCUCUCUCUCUCUCUCUCUCUCUCUCUCCCCUUCUUUCCUUCUUUCUUUUCUCUUUGUUGCACUGCUGCAAUAAAGAUCUUUUGGUUGCUCCGAGUGUUGUGGUCACUUUCCUUUCAUUUGGUGCUGAAACCCGGGAGAGGGUUAGAACCCACUUUGGGGUCCCUCUUCCUUCGGAAGUGCCACUCACUGGAUGGCCUGAACCCAUUUUCUCGACCGCCAGAACUCCAUCCACCACCAGCCUUCGAUUGUUUUUAUCUCAAACCACAGAUACCGCUUCUACAUCCAAGCAACUUGACAUCAGGAUGACACCACCCACUCUCAGUUUAUGGGUCAAGGCGAAUGCCCUUCCACUGGCUGCAAUCAGGCUGUCACCCUUAACAUUACUGGAUUCAACCAAGCCACCUCCAAUACUUCCUAGAGUCCCUGCUAUAGGACCAGUGGCUGAUACCAAGAGUCUCCUCCAUCCAGGACUGGUUUGAUGCCAUCGAGGACUUGUGGCUUCAAGGAACUUUUAUGGACUUUACCCCUACCACAGUAGUUGUCUGUAGCCACUGAGUGUUAUUUCUGGCUGCCCUGGUGUUCUCAGACCUGUCCCCCGAACAUUCCUCCACUUCCCCUUCUAGGUCUAACGCUGCCCACCAUUAAGCAGAAAGUAGCCAGAGAACUUUACGCUGUCCCCCGUGUCACUUAGAAAUACAAAAAGGGAGAAAUGUUGGGUGCAGAGCAGGCUGAACUGUGUUGUCUGCAGGGCAGGCUGAACAGAUGUUGGCUGCAAGAUAGCCCACGCACUCAAACCCCCCUCUAUCUGGUCCUUUAUCACCUGUUUGCCUCAAGACUGAACAUUCAACCCUGCUCAAGGCUGAACACUUAACGCCCCCUUGGGCCAACAAGGCAGCUUGCAGACCCAGAGGCCCCAUUAGAUUUGGACUAUAAAAACUCCCUCCUGCCAGGCCCCCCCCUCUCUCUCUCUCUCUCUCUCUCUCUCUCUUUGUCUUUCUUGCGUGCCCUCUCUGUCUCUCUCUCCCUCUUCAUCUCUCCUCUUCUCUUCUCUCUCUCUCUCUCUCUCUCCCUCCCUCCUUCUUUCCUUCUUUCUUUUCUCUCUGUUGCACUGCUGCAAUAAAGAUCUUUUGGUUGCUCCAA